rnacentral:rRNA from 1 species
AUUGAACGCUGGCGGCAGGCCUAACACAUGCAAGUCGAACGAGUGGCGGACGGGUGAGUAAUGUCUGGGAAACUGCCCGAUGGAGGGGGAUAACUACUGGAAACGGUAGCUAAUAACGCAUACCAUCGGAUGUGCCCAGAUGGGAUUAGCUAGUAGGUGGGGUAAAGGCUCACCUAGGCGACGAUCCCUAGCUGGUCUGAGAGGAUGACCAGCCACACUGGCACUGAGACACGGUCCAUACUCCUACGGGAGGCAGCAGUGGGGAAUAUUGCACAAUGGGCGCAAGCCUGAUGCAGCCAUGCCGCGUGUAUGAAGAAGGCCUUCGGGUUGUAAAGUACUUUCAGCGGGGAGGCGUUACCCGCAGAAUAAGCACCGGCUAACUCCGUGCCAGCAGCCGCGGUAAUAC